GACGAACGCUGGCGGCGUGCUUAACACAUGCAAGUCGAACGGAAAGGCCCUGCUUUUGUGGGGUGCUCGAGUGGCGAACGGGUGAGUAACACGUGAGUAACCUGCCCUUGACUUUGGGAUAACUUCAGGAAACUGGGGCUAAUACCGGAUAGGAGCUCCUGCUGCAUGGUGGGGGUUGGAAAGUUUCGGCGGUUGGGGAUGGACUCGGGGCUUAUCAGCUUGUUGGUGGGGUAGUGGCUUACCAAGGCUUUGACGGGUAGCCGGCCUGAGAGGGUGACCGGCCACAUUGGGACUGAGAUACGGCCAAGACUCCUACGGGGGGCAGCAGUGGGGAAUAUUGCAAAAUGGGCGGAAGCCUGAUGCAGCAACGCCGCGUGCGGGAUGACGGCCUUCGGGUUGUAAACCGCUUUCGCCUGUGACGAAGCGUGAGUGACGGUAAUGGGUAAAGAAGCACCGGCUAACUACGUG
rnacentral:rRNA from 1 species